rnacentral:rRNA from 1 species
AGUAACGCGUGGGUAACCUGCCUUGUACUGGGGGAGUAGCAGCUGGAAACGGCUGGUAAUACCGCAUAAGCGCACAAUGUUGCAUGACAUGGUGUGAAAAACUCCGGUGGUAUAAGAUGGACCCGCGUCUGAUUAGCUAGUUGGUGAGAUAACAGCCCACCAAGGCGACGAUCAGUAGCCGACCUGAGAGGGUGACCGGCCACAUUGGGACUGAGACACGGCCCAGACUCCUACGGGAGGCAGCAUG